GACGAACGCUGGCGGCGUGCUUAACACAUGCAAGUCGAACGGAAAGGCCCUGCUUUUGUGGGGUGCUCGAGUGGCGAACGGGUGAGUAACACGUGAGUAACCUGCCCUUGACUGUGUGAUAAAUUCAGGAAACACGGGCGAAUACCGGAUAGGAGCUCCUGCUGCAUGGUGGGGGUUGGUAAGAUUCGGCGGUUGUGGCUGGAUUGGCUGCUUAUCAGCUUGUUGGUGGGGUAGGUGCUUUCCAGGGCUUUGACGGGUAGCCGGCCUGGGAGGGUGGACGGCGACAUUGGGCCUGAGAGACGGCCCAGACUCCUACGGGCCGCAGUAGUGGGGAACAUUGCGCAGCAGGCGGAAGUCAGAUGCAGCAACGCCGCGUGCGGGAUGACGGCUUUCGGGUGGUAAACCGAUUUCGAAUGUGCCGAAGAGUGCUUGACGGUACUGGGUAAAGAAGCCCCGGCUAACUACGUG
rnacentral:rRNA from 1 species